UGUGUCUUUAGCUCAGUCGGUAGAGCGUCGGCCUGUUAAGCCGGUUGUCGUUGGUUCGAGCCCAACAAGACACGU
rnacentral:tRNA from 1 species